rnacentral:rRNA from 1 species
UACGAAGGGGGCUAGCGUUGCUCGGAAUCACUGGGCGUAAAGGGUGCGUAGGCGGGUCUUUAAGUCAGGGGUGAAAUCCUGGAGCUCAACUCCAGAACUGCCUUUGAUACUGAGGAUCUUGAGUUCGGGAGAGGUGAGUGGAACUGCGAGUGUAGAGGUGAAAUUCGUAGAUAUUCGCAAGAACACCAGUGGCGAAGGCGGCUCACUGGCCCAUUACUGACGCUGAGGCACGAAAGCGUGGGGAGCAAACAGG